GGAAGGGUGUCCGAGUGGUUUAUGGUGCCGCUCUCGAAAAGCGGUGUGCCUGAAUAGGGCACCGCGGGUUCGAAUCCCGCCCCUUCCGCCU
rnacentral:tRNA from 1 species